CUCGCGGUCGUCGGGGGCUUCGCGGCGGGCGCCUGGAUCGUGCCGGUCGCAGGGGGCUCCCCGGCGGAUACCGCGUUCCUCGCGGCCGCGAUG
rnacentral:tRNA from 1 species